rnacentral:rRNA from 1 species
UACGAGGGGGGCAAGCGUUGUUCGGAAUUAUUGGGCGUAAAGGGCGCGUAGGCGGUGCGGUAAGUCGGGUGUGAAAUUUCGGAGCUUAACUCCGAAACUGCAUUCGAUACUGGCGUGCUUGAGGACUGGAGAGGAGACUGGAAUUUACGGUGUAGCGGUGAAAUGCGUAGAUAUCGUAAGGAAGACCAGUGGCGAAGGCGGGUCUCUGGACAGUUCCUGACGCUGAGGCACGAAGGUCAGGGGAGCAAACGGG